AUUGAACGCUGGCGGCAGGCUUAACACACGCAAGUCGAGCGGGGGAAGGUAGCUUGCUACCGGACCUAGCGGCGGACGGGUGGGUAAUGCUUAGGAAUCUGCCUAUUAGUGGGGGACAACAUCUCGAAAGGGAUGCUAAUACCGCAUACGUCCUACGGGAGAAAGCAGGGGAUCUUCGGACCUUGCGCUAAUAGAUGAGCCUAAGUCGGAUUAGCUAGUUGGUGGGGUAAAGGCCUACCAAGGCGACGAUCUGUAGCGGGUCUGAGAGGAUGAUCCGCCACACUGGGACUAAGACACGGCCCAGACUCCUACGGGAGGCAGCAGUGGGGAAUAUUGGACAAUGGGGGGAACCCUGAUCCAGCCAUGCCGCGUGUGUGAAGAAGGCCUUAUGGUUGUAAAGCACUUUAAGCGAGGAGGAGGCUACUUUAGUUAAUACCUAGAGAUAGUGGACGUUACUCGCAGAAUAAGCACCGGCUAACUCUGUGCCAGCCGCCGCCGUAA
rnacentral:rRNA from 1 species